ensembl:snoRNA
CCUGCCCCUAGAGGCAUUGGAGGUAUGGCUGCUGCAUUUCACGUUCAUCAGUAGUGGCAAGAAAAAUGGCUAUGUUUAUGCUCAGUGUUCUGUCCUAUCAACAUCUGAAUGAUUAGCAGCCUAACAUU